GACGAACGCUGGCGGCGUGCUUAACACAUGCAAGUCGAACGGAAAGGCCCUGCGUUUGUGGGGUGCUCGAGUGGCGAACGGGUGAGUAACACGUGAGUAACCUGCCCUUGACUUUGGGAUAACUUCAGGUAACUGGGGCUAAUACCGGAUAGGAGCUCCUGCUGCAUGGUGGGGGUUGGAAAGUUUCGGCGGUUGUGGAUGGACUCGCGGCUUAUCAGCUUGUUGGUGGGGUAGUGGCUGACCAAGGCUUUGACGGGUAGCCGGCCUGGGAGGGUGACCGGCCACAUUGGGCCUGCGAUACGGCGCAGACUCCUACGUGAGGCAGCAGUGGGGAAUAUUGCACAAUGGGCGGACGCCUGUUGCAGCAACGCCGCGUUCGGGAUGACGGCCUGCGGGUUGUGAACCGCUUUCGCCUGUGACGAAGCGUGAGUGACGGUAAUGGGUAAAGAAGCACCGGCUAACUACGUG
rnacentral:rRNA from 1 species